AUGGCGGCUCAGGCAGACACCAUUGAAGUUCCCACGGACGCUGAGCUGCUACAGGCGCAGGCUGACCUGUGGCGCCACAGCCUCUACUACCUCUCGUCCAUGGGGCUCCGGUGCGCCGUCCAGCUUGGGAUCCCGACCACCAUCCACCGCCUCGGCGGGGUCGCUUCGCUGCCCGACCUGAUGGCCGAGCUGUCCCUUCCAUCGGUAAAGAUGCCCUUCCUCGGCCGGCUCAUGCGCGUGCUUGUCACGUCGGGCCUCUUCGCAGCCGACAAAGAUACCGAGUCCGGCGGGGAGCUCUACCGCCUCACCCCGCUGUCUCGCAUCCUUGUGGACGGCGUCGACGCGGAUGAGCACCACAGCCAAAAAUAUUUCGUGCUUGGCGUGACCGCGCCGCAUUGCGCGGAGGCGGCGUUGGGGCUGGCGGACUGGUUCAAGAAGGACCUUGAGCCACCAGUGCCGUCACCCUUCGAGGACAUGCAUGGCGCCCCAAUCUUUGAUGAGAGAACACCACUCAUGGACGAAGAGUUUGACGCCGUUGCCAACCAAGGCUUGGCUGCCCACGACAACCUGGGGAUUGCCACCAUACUGCGAGAGUGCGGUGACAUCUUCAAGGGGCUUGAAUCUCUGACUGACUGCUGCGGCGGCGAUGGUACAACGGCGAGGGCUCUCGUCAAGGCUUACCCGCACAUCAAGUGCACUGUGUUGGACCUUCCGAAGGUGAUCGACAAAGUCCCAACUGAUGGUGUCGUUAACUAUGUUGCGGGUGACCUGUUCCACACCGUCCCAUCUUCUCAAGCCGUGAUGCUCAAGCUUGUGCUACAUUUCUGGAGCGACGAGGAUUGUGUGAAAAUCUUGACCCAGUGCAAGAAGGCCAUUCCUCCGCGCGACGAGGGAGGAAAGGUAAUUAUCAUAGACAUCGUCAUUGGACCUUCCUUGGGGCCAAUAAUGUUUGAAGCCCAACUCCUGAUGGAUAUGCUCAUGAUGGUGAACACAAGAGGGGUUCAACGGAGUGAAAAUGACUGGCGCAAGCUAUUCGUUGAAGCAGGGUUCAAAGACUACAAAAUUGUGAAGAAACUCGGAGCUCGAUGCGUUAUCGAGGUCUACCCAUAA
rnacentral:rRNA from 1 species